GGGGAUUUAGCUCAGCGGUAGAGCGCUUGCCUAGCAAACGCAAGGCCCUGGGUUCAGUUCCCAGCUCCG
rnacentral:tRNA from 1 species